rnacentral:rRNA from 1 species
CGGGGUGGAGUAAUGUCUGGGAAGGCUGCCUGAUGGAGGGGGAUAACUACUGGAAACGGUAGCUAAUACCGCAUAACGUCGCAAGACCAAAGAGGGGGACCUUAGGGCCUCUUGCCAUCGGAUGUGCCCAGAUGGGAUUAGCUAGUAGGUGGGGUAACGGCUCACCUAGGCGACGAUCCCUAGCUGGUCUGAGAGGAUGACCAGCCACACUGGAACUGAGACACGGUCCAG